GUCAGAUAGUAAAGUGACUGAUCUACCCUGGCACCCUACCUGUUUUUAUUUUUAAACACUAAUAUAACUGUAUCUUUUUUUGUGAUAACAGGAAGCAACUAAUUCUAUCUCUAUGUUACCAAUGAAGAAGUUGAAACCCAGAAAUGUUAAAUGAUUUCAGCAGAGGCAGCAGAGGGAAGCAUCCAGGGUUUAAAACAAAGCUUGAAGCUUUGACAGAGCUGUCCUUUAAAGAAAGGACAAGUGAUUUUAAUUUUCAGGAUCCUAGCAACCAAAAGUGAUGUAGGAGCUGACUUCCAGAAGGCACUCACAGGUAAUGAUGAAAAAAUAGCCAUGUUAAAGUUACGUAUGUUGGCCCUGGAAGAGCACACAGUGAAACGCAACUAACUGAUUCCUGGUCAGAGGCUGCAUCAGAAAUGUGCUUAAGGCUCAUUCUUCUACACAGGAAACUCUUGUUAGGGCCACUAGUGGAUUUUAUGAUUGGUUUUAGUGUUCCCCUUUUCUGAUUCCACUAAAGAAAAAAUUAAAAUGCUUUUCAUAUUCUUGACACCCACUAGAAAAAUUCUCUUCUUCUCUAAUAAUAAUGGGAAGUAGAUAAUAAUUAGAACCAGAGAGAUUUUAUUCCUUUCCGGUGAUUUGACUUAGCAUAAAUCCCUUAUAGUAAAACCAUUUAUCUAUGGUUUGUUGAGACAUAAUUAGACUUUUUAAAAAAAG
rnacentral:lncRNA from 1 species